UACGUAGGCAGCGAGCGUUGUUCGGAGUUACUGGGCGUAAAGAGUGCGUAGGCGGUGCUCCAAGUCUGGUGUGAAAUCUCCCGGCUUAACCGGGAGGGUGCGCCGGAAACUGGGGUGCUGGAGUGUGGGAGAGGUAAGCGGAAUUCCCGGUGUAGUGGUGGAAUGCGUAGAUAUCAGGAGGAACACCGGUGGCGAAGGCGGGUCUCUGGGCCGAUACUGACGCUGAGGAGCGAAAGCGUGGGGAGCGAACAGG
rnacentral:rRNA from 1 species